rnacentral:rRNA from 1 species
CUACGUGCCAGCAGCCGCGGUAAUACGUAGGUGGCAAGCGUUGUCCGGAAUUAUUGGGCGUAAAGCGCGCGCAGGCGGAUUGGUCAGUCUGUCUUAAAAGUUCGGGGCUUAACCCCGUGAUGGGAUGGAAACUGCCAAUCUAGAGUAUCGGAGAGGAAAGUGGAAUUCCUAGUGUAGCGGUGAAAUGCGUAGAUAUUAGGAAGAACACCAGUGGCGAAGGCGACUUUCUGGACGAAAACUGACGCUGAGGCGCGAAAGCCAGGGGAGCGAACGGGAUUAGAUACCCCGGUAGUCCUGGCCGUAAACGAUGGGUACUAGGUGUAGGAGGUAUCGACCCCUUCUGUGCCGGAGUUAACGCAAUAAGUACCCCGCCUGGGGAGUACGACCGCAAGGUUGAAACUCAAAGGAAUUGACGGGGGCCCGCACAAGCGGUGGAGUAUGUGGUUUAAUUCGACGCAACGCGAAGAACCUUACCAGGUCUUGACA